GGAUGUGAGGGUGAUCUGGCUGCGACAUCUGUCGCCCCACUGAUCGCCAGGGUUGUUCUGGCUGACCUGGCUGGCUCGGCGGUGUCCCCUUCCUCCCUUGCCGCUCCAUGUGCGUCCCUCCUGAAGCUGUGCACUCGGCAAAGAGUGUGACCACCCCCAUAGAGGAGGACCGCCUCAUUCGGGGGGUACGAGGAGCUGUGCGCCUCUGCUGGAACCGCCAAACAAGCUCCCGUGACUCAGCAGUUUUGAUUGCACCUCGUAAAGACACUCACGAAAGAGCACUGCCGGAGCUGCUUUAAAAAGUGGCAGGAACAG
ensembl:misc_RNA 7SK 7SK RNA